AAAUAAGAAGCAAUAUUUGCAUUUAAUUUCGACUUAAAAGAAAGAGUUAGUUUAUUAACUCCUUAUUUA
rnacentral:tRNA from 1 species